rnacentral:rRNA from 1 species
GGCUUAACACAUGCAAGUCGAGCCGGGGGAAAAGUAGCUUGCUACUUAACUUAGCGGCGGACGGGUGAGUAAUACUUAGGAAUCUGCCUAUUAGUGGGGGACAACAUUUCGAAAGGAAUGCUAAUACCGCAUACGUCCUACGGGAGAAAGCAGGGGAUCACUUGUGACCUUGCGCUAAUAGAUGAGCCUAAGUCGGAUUAGCUAGUUGGUGGGGUAAAGGCCUACCAAGGCGACGAUCUGUAGCGGGUCUGAGAGGAUGAUCCGCCACACUGGGACUGAGACACGGCCCAGACUCCUACGGGAGGCAGCAGUGGGGAAUAUUGGACAAUGGGGGGAACCCUGAUCCAGCCAUGCCGCGUGUGCGAAGAAGGCCUUUUGGUUGUAAAGCACUUUAAGCGAGGAGGAGGCUACUCUAGUUAAUACCUAGGGAUAGUGGACGUUACUCGCAGAAUAAGCACCGGCUAACUCUGUGCCAGCAGCCGCGGUAAUACAGAGGGUGCGAGCGUUAAUCGGAUUUACUGGGCGUAAAGCGUGCGUAGGUGGCCAAUUAAGUCAAAUGUGAAAUCCCCGAGCUUAACUUGGGAAUUGCAUUCGAUACUGGUUGGCUAGAGUAUGGGAGAGGAUGGUAGAAUUCCAGGUGUAGCGGUGAAAUGCGUAGAGAUCUGGAGGAAUACCGAUGGCGAAGGCAGCCAUCUGGCCUAAUACUGACACUGAGGUACGAAAGCAUGGGGAGCAAACAGGAUUAGAUACCCUGGUAGUCCAUGCCGUAAACGAUGUCUACUAGCCGUUGGGGUCUUUGAAACUUUAGUGGCCCACCUAACGCGAUAAGUAAACCGCCUGGGGGUACGGUCCCAAGACUAAAACUCAAUGAAUUGACGG